UAAUAGCGUAUAUUAAAAUUGUUGCAGUUAAAACGCUCGUAGUUGAAUAUCUGUCUUCUAUUUGCUUGGUCCGCUUCGCGUGCACCAAGCAUUGGAGACAUCCGUUUGCGAAGCAGGCUUAGCUUGAAUACUUCAGCAUGGAAUGAUCGAUAGGACUUCCGUCCUAUCCGUUGGUUCUAGGGGCGCGAAGUAAUGAUAAACAGGGUCGGUCGGGGGCAUUCGUAUUGAACAGUCAGAGGUGAAAUUCUUAGAUUUGUUCAAGACGAGCAACUGCGAAAGCAUUUGCCAAGGACGACCCCAUUAA
rnacentral:rRNA from 1 species